rnacentral:rRNA from 1 species
UACAGAGGGUGCUAGCGUUGUUCGGAAUCAUUGGGCGUAAAGGGCGUGUAGGCGGUUUGUUAAGUCAUGUGUGAAAUCCCUCGGCUCAACCGGGGAACGACGCAUGAAACUGGCAAGCUAGAGUACCAAAGAGGGGGGUGGAAUUCCCGGUGUAGCGGUGGAAUGCGUAGAGAUCCGGAAGAACACCGGUGGCGAAGGCGGUCUGCUGGGCAGUAGCUGACACUGAUGCGCGACAGCGUGGGGAGCAAACAGG